rnacentral:sRNA from 1 species
GCUGGGUGUGGUGGUGCACGCCUGUCAUCCCAGCAGCCCAAGAGGCUGAGGCAGGAGGAUCACAAGUUCAAAGCCAGCCUCAGCAACUUAUCAAGGCGCUACACAACUCAGCGAGACCCUGUCUCAA